rnacentral:lncRNA from 1 species
GUUGUUCCGCUCCUGAGGCAGCGGCGGAGGCUGCUGCUGGGGCGGCUGCUGCUGGGGCGGCUGCGGCGGCGGCUGCUGCGGGGGCUGCUGCUGCUGUUGCUGCACCGGGCGCGGCCGCGACACUCGCCUGGGUCUCCGGUUGGCGGCUCGGACGGAGUUCAUUUGCCGGGCUGAGGUGGCGGCGUUGGCGGAGGGACACACACACGCACACGCACAGCGAGCUUCGGGGCAGGAGAAAGGGGUGGGGAGAGUGGGAGAGGGGGGAGGAAGGAGAGGGGGCGAGGGGAAGGGGAGACGCUGAGGGCGGAGGGGGCGAGCGGGACCCCGAGUCCGGAGAAAGGCCCGGGUAGACAGACGGAGACCGAGCGAGGCCGGCCGGGAGGGCCUGACGCACGGGGAAGGCCGAAGCCGCCGGGCGGGGCGGCCGCGAGGGACGAAGGCAGAAAGACGGGCAGACCGAGAGAAAGAAAGAAAGGGCGUCCGCCGCUUGGGGAUCCCGAGGCGAAGCGCGGCGGCGGCGGCGGCGGCGGCUGAAGAGACAGAUCCCGGUCCCGCCGACUCGCGAGCGGCGUCUCCGGCAGCGGGGGGAGUGGGCGGGCGGGUGAGGAAGGGAGAAAAAGAGAGGGAGAGAAGGGAGGGAGGGAGCAGGGGGCGCCCGGCUCUUUUUUUUCCCUCUUCCUCCCCCCCACACCCCCUGAAAGAGAUUUCUGUGAGGAAUUUUUCUCUCUUUCUUCGGUCUCUUCUCUCUCCUCCCCCCCUUCUCUCCUCGGCGAAGGGGAAAUGAGUGUGAAGGGAGGAGAUAGGGGGAAAAAGAGGCGUCGUCCUUCCUCCUCCUUAAAGGAACCUUUCCUCCUCCUCCUCGUCAGCCCUGUCGCCGCUGCUUCUGCUGCUGCUCCGUGGCAGGAGGAGCCAUUGACACCGCCGGAGCCUCCACUCGCCCAGUCGGUCCCUCCCCGCCGCGGGGCUGGCCGGGGGCGCGGGGGAGGGCCGCGGGGCGGCGGGGGGAGGGGUGGGUGGGCGGGGAAAGGAGGGGCGGGGAUUCCGUCCAGGCGGCCAAUCUAAGGCGCCCGUACAACCUUCCGGCCAAUGGGGCCUCCGCUCUUAUCGCGAAGUCCCUUCAACGCCCUGUUUCCUCUCUCGGGUUUCCUCCCUCCCCCGCCUAGGAGGGGGAAAGAGGAAAGGGGGAGUGUGGCGGGGCGGGUGAUAAUGGGGAGGUAUCAGGGCAAAUAAUAGAGCAGGGGGUGGGCGAAGAGAGCGCCAGUGCGUAGCGACGAUUCUGGGAGAGGAGGUGCUCGGAGGAAAGGGCGGGGGUUGCUGAUGUAAUGGGGAGAAGUGAUUAAUCCUUCGGUUCGCCGUUUCAGCUUCCCCCCUACCCCAACCUUCACCCGAUUUUUUUGAGCUGAAAAAAAAGUGGAACGAGGGAGCCAAUCUUUGGUCCCACAAACUGCAAGGAAAAGAAAAACCCUCAACAGGAAUUACCUUUAUACCUGAUGCCCCCAACAUAAUCUCUCUCCAAGGGAAACGUGUUUUUAUUGCCUUGCGGCUGAAAAUGUAUUCUCGAUUCUCCCCCUUCUCUCUUUUGUUGUGCAUUUUUUGGAUGUGGUAAAACUGGCAGUUUAUCUGAUUAUCUGGUUUUCAGAACUUUGGGCGAUGUCUCUGAGUGUCAUCAGUUGCUCUCUAGGUUUGACAUAGAUAAUUAAGCAACUACAAAGCGUGAUAAAGCUUUUGAGAGGGAGGAAAAUGUAUUUUGGAAGGAGGGAGAGACGCAAAGAGGCGAGCCUGUGUGUUGAGUCCCAGACUUGGUGUGUGACUACAGGCAAAGUACUUCACCUUUCUAGAUGUCAGCCCCGCCCCCCUCACCUCCCAAGUUUAAAUAAGAACUUAUUUUAGACUACAUGAUCCUGUUUUCAAUUUUUAAGAGUUCUGUGAUUUUGAGAUGAUCUCUCUUUAGUCCAGAAAAAUAGAGAAACGUAGGUCUAUGUUUGUUUCUCAAAAAAAUAUUUGAGGAGGACAGCUGUUACAAAACAGCUGGAGAACUCCAAAUUUUUAUGGUGGUUAGCUAGGUGCAAAUGGGUACAAUUUUAGGUUUGUUCAAAUAAACAUAGGGGAAAAGUAAAAGUACAGGAAAAUUACGUUAUACAUAUAAGUGUGUCCAUCAUUUCUGAUUUUUCUAAAAAUUUACUUUUUUAUUUGACAAGUACUUUUUGGCUCCUUCCGUGUAUGCAUUAAUAUGUAUAUAAGGUGUUAUGGGAAAUACUAAUAAAAGGAAAAUAUUGGGCAUAAAGAGUUUGUAUUUUGGUGUGGCAGAGUGGAAGUUUUACUUACAUUAAUUCAGAUGUAAAGAAAAUGUAGCUUGUUUAUUUUCUGUAAUUUUAACUUCAAGUCC